CUGAACCUUCGGGGAACGAUAACGGCGUCGAGCGGCGGACGGGUGAGUAAUGCCUAGGAAAUUGCCCUGAUGUGGGGGAUAACCAUUGGAAACGAUGGCUAAUACCGCAUGAUGCCUACGGGCCAAAGAGGGGGACCUUCGGGCCUCUCGCGUCAGGAUAUGCCUAGGUGGGAUUAGCUAGUUGGUGAGGUAAGGGCUCACCAAGGCGACGAUCCCUAGCUGGUCUGAGAGGAUGAUCAGCCACACUGGAACUGAGACACGGUCCAGACUCCUACGGGAGGCAGCAGUGGGGAAUAUUGCACAAUGGGCGCAAGCCUGAUGCAGCCAUGCCGCGUGUAUGAAGAAGGCCUUCGGGUUGUAAAGUACUUUCAGUCGUGAGGAAGGCGGCGUCGUUAAUAGCGGCGUUGUUUGACGUUAGCGACAGAAGAAGCACCGGCUAACUCCGUGCCAGCAGCCGCGGUAAUACGGAGGGUGCGAGCGUUAAUCGGAAUUACUGGGCGUAAAGCGCAUGCAGGUGGUUUGUUAAGUCAGAUGUGAAAGCCCGGGGCUCAACCUCGGAAUAGCAUUUGAAACUGGCAGACUAGAGUACUGUAGAGGGGGGUAGAAUUUCAGGUGUAGCGGUGAAAUGCGUAGAGAUC
rnacentral:rRNA from 1 species